UUGCCAGUAGGAUUAGUGGCGAAAGGGAAUACGGUCAUUAUUCCGUAACCAGGACCCGGAUACCUAGCAGGUGUAAGCGCCCUUGCCCCCGGGCAGGGGAGAGCUGCCCUGUGCAGGAGCCCGGUAACGGGAACCAGCUCGCGUUCGUCGGCGGUGGUCCGGGAAAGAGUUUUCUUUUCUGUUUAAGGCGCCGUGACCCUGGAAGCCAUUCGCAGAGAGAAAGGGUGUUUGUAACACGGAAAGCCGUAGAGCGCCGCGGUUCUUGCGGCGUCCCGCGCGCCACCGCCGGCCCGUGAAACAUGCGAGGGAGGUAACUGAGGUAAAGCGGACUCCCCAAAGUCCGCGACACCUACUUCGGGCCAGUGCGUACCCAUAUCCGCAGCCGGUCUCCGAGGUAAGAAGCYCUGGUCGAUAGAUUAAUGUAGGUAAGGGAA
rnacentral:rRNA from 1 species